UACGGGGGGGGCAAGCGUUGUUCGGAAUUACUGGGCGUAAAGGGCUCGUAGGCGGCCAACUAAGUCAGACGUGAAAUCCCUCGGCUUAACCGGGGAACUGCGUCUGAUACUGGAUGGCUUGAGUUUGGGAGAGGGAUGCGGAAUUCCAGGUGUAGCGGUGAAAUGCGUAGAUAUCUGGAGGAACACCGGUGGCGAAGGCGGCCAUCUGGCUCGUAUCUGACGCUGAGACGCGAAAGCGUGGGGAGCAAACAGG
rnacentral:rRNA from 1 species